GGGGGACAACAGUUGGAAACGACUGCUAAUACCGCAUACGAUCUAAUCUCGGCAUCGAGGAUAGAUGAAAGGUGGCCUCUAUGUAUAAGCUAUCACUGAAGGAGGGGAUUGCGUCUGAUUAGCUAGUUGGAGGGGUAACGGCCCACCAAGGCGAUGAUCAGUAGCCGGUCUGAGAGGAUGAACGGCCACAUUGGGACUGAGACACGGCCCAG
rnacentral:rRNA from 1 species